CCAGCUGGGAGACAGUGCUUCACUUGGGGUAUUUGACAAACUGACACUCUGUUACACUGAGUGUCGAACUCAGCUUGUCAAAUACACUUAGUGCAACACUUAACAAUCUG
rnacentral:pre_miRNA from 1 species